rnacentral:rRNA from 1 species
GAUUAACGCUGGCGGCGUGCAUAACACAUGCAAGUCGAACGAUGAAACUUAAAUGAUUUCUUCGGAAUGAACUUAAGUGGAUUAGUGGCGGACGGGUGAGUAACGCGUGAGUAACCUGCCUUACACAAGGGGAUAGCCGUUGGAAACGACGAAUAAUACCCUAUGAAACUAUCACUUCGCAUGAAGCGAUAGUCAAAGUGUUAGCGGUGUAAGAUGGACUUGCGUCUGAUUAGCUAGUUGGUGAGAAAAAAGCCCACCAAGGCAACGAUCAGUAGCCGGCUUGAGAGAGUGGACGGCCACAUUGGGACUGAGACACGGCCCAGAAUCCUACGGGAGGCAGCAGUGGGGAAUUUUGCACAAUGGGGGAAACCCUGAUGCAGCGACGCCGCGUGAUUUAGAAGGCCUUCGGGUUGUAAAAAUAUUUUGUAUAGGAAGAAAAUGACAGUACUAUACGAAUAAGGUCCGGCUAAUUACGUG